UGCCAGCAGCCGCGGUAAUACGAAGGUCCCAAGCGUUGUUCGGAAUCACUGGGCGUAAAGGGUGCGCAGGCGGCCAAGUGUGUCGGAGGUGAAAUCUUGCAGCUUAACUGUAAAAUUGCCUACGAAACUACUUGGCUAGAGUAUCGGAGAGGAUAGCGGAAUUCCAGGUGUAGCAGUGAAAUGCGUAGAUAUCUGGAGGAACACCAAUGGCGAAGGCAGCUAUCUGGACGAUUACUGACGCUCAGGCACGAAAGCAUGGGGAGCGAAAGGGAUUAGAUA
rnacentral:rRNA from 1 species